rnacentral:misc_RNA from 1 species
UUAUAUUAUAUUUUAAAAACUAAUGCAAAUUAUAUUAUACUGUGUUUUAUUGAGAGUGGAAUGUGCGACCCAUUUGAUAGAGUGAGGAUAGAAGGCACGCAUUUGUGCCGAAAUGACGAGCCAUGAUCAAAACUAGAAUGAAUGCGUUCUAUUUCCACGUGAACUCGCCACGUUCUAAACUUAAACAAUGUGUCAAGAUGCGAUCUGUGCCCUUUCCAUGUGGCAUUGUUACGAUUCUAUUUUAUGUCUUAGCCAGUCUUGUAUAUGGGCAAAGGCAGGAAUUAGGCAUGUCUUUUACCAGACAUCCACAACCACUGGAUGCACCAAUAGGCGAUGACGUGAAUUUUGAAUGUAAUUUGAAUCUUGGCGCAGAACGUUUUUCUUGGCGCCAUAGACCAUUGAGUUCAGAUAAAUGGUUGCCAGUUUUUCACACAAUUAGUAAUGGUGGCAAAACAUCUAGGCAUGUGGUAAAAUUUGAUAAUGAAUCGAAAGCCGGAGAUUAUCGUUGUAUAGCUUUUUAUGGUUCAAGUGGUUUAGCUUCUGAUCCGGCAAGAUUAACAUUAGCUACACUACACAAGUUUUCUGAUAAAAAUGAUGUUAUUAUAAAUGUUCCAACAGGAAAUAUUGUACCUAUUACAUGUCCUGUACCUUAUUCUGCACCAGAAGCAAUAGUUCAGUUUUAUAAAAACAAUAAUCUCAUACAAAAUGUUAAUAUAAUUGGUAGCAAAACUAUGAUCAUUGAGAAUGCUAAAAUAUCAGAUAGUGGAUCUUACCAUUGCACUGUUAGCAAUUAUAUAACUACACAAAUAUAUUCAAGUAAUUAUAAAACAAUUUUAAAUGUACAUAAAAAUAUUAGUUUUUUAGCACCAUAUUUUGUUAAACAACCACAAACAGAAUACAAAGUUUUACGGGGCAAAAAUAUAACAUUAGAAUGUUUUGGUGCUGGUUAUCCAGUACCUUCUGUUACAUGGAGUAGAUUAGGCAGUCCAUUACCAUCAAAUUCCAUAAAAAAUUUGAUAGGUUUAAUGAUAAUUAAUGUUCAGCCAUCAGACAGAGGAGAGUAUGAUUGUAUGUGGAGUAGCAAUAAUGCACAUAUAAAAUCUGUAAUUAUAUUAAAAGUCAUGGAAGCUCCAAAAGUAAUUAAACCACCGAAAGCAUCCACAUUCUCUGAAGGUGGAGAAUUAGAACUUUCUUGUGCAGUAACUGGCGAACCACAACCAAAAAUUGAAUGGUUAAUUAAUGGAGAAUCUUUAAUACCUAGUGAUAAUGUGGAAAUCAAAGGUUCUACACUUCUUAUAUCUGAAGUUGAGAAAAAACAUGCUGGUAUUGUCCAGUGUGUUGCAAGUAACGAAUAUGGGUCUCAUUCUGGUUGCAAUUUGCUAAGAGUAAAUCCUAAACAACAUAUUGGAACAACAGAAAUCAGACAGGAUUAUGGAAUUUCUAAUUCAAAACAUAAACACACUAGAGGAGGAGGUAGACGAAGAAGUAAGGAAGGGAAACAUAAAGGCACUGCGGUGCUAGUACCACCGAAUCAACCAAAUGUCACAAGACUUUCAGAUGUGUCCGUAAUGGUUAGAUGGUCUGUACCUGAAAAUACAGGACUGCCAAUUCAAUUUUUUAAAGUUCAAUAUCGAGAACUUGGACAAAAGAUGAAUGGCAAACAAGCCAAAUGGAUGACUGCAAAUUCAGAAAUACCGAAUAAUGUACGGGCUUUUGAAGUAACCGAUUUACAACCUGAUCAUACUUAUCGAUUUAGAAUUGCUGCAGUUUAUUCAAACAAUGAUAAUAAACUUAGUCCAAAUUCCGUACGUUUUCAUCUUAACAAAGAUGGUGGAAUCGAAAGUAAUAAAAUGCCUAUACCUUUAUUAACGAAUACUGAGGCUUUAGGUCCGCAUGAAGUAUUACUCAUUUGGCAAAAUUCAGAUAAAUCGGCAAAUAUCGAUGGUUUUUAUGUAUACCAUCGAGCCUCUACUACAGCUGGAGAUUAUAUAAAAACUACAGUUGAAGGCAAAGAUUCUUUCAAUAUAACUAUUUCUCACUUGCAACCAGAUACGACAUACGAGUUUAAAGUGCAAAGUUUUUCUGUGGAUGCUGCUUCAGAAUUUUCUCAAAUUCUUCGACAAAAAACAAAAAAAUCUUUGAACAUGAAUGAACAUAAUAAUUACAAUAAUCGAAAUGAUCAUAGUAGCAAUUUAACAUUAGAUAAUCGCGUAAGACCUGCAGACGAUAAAAAUGUGAAUAUGUAUGCCAUAAUUGGCGGAGUUCUCGGAGGAUCAACCUUGCUAGGUAGUUUAACUGCAGUUGCAGUAAUAUAUAAAAGAACAAAAUACAAACAAAGUCGAGAAUCAUCGCAAAGUGAAGGAAAACCAAUAACAAAUGGAAGAAUAAUGAAUGGUGGAGUAACUGAUUCAAAAAUAAACAUAACUUCAAAUCCACUUGCUGGUCUUGAUACAUCUGAAGAUAUAAUACAGCCUAAGCUUUAGCCAUUGGUCGCGUGUUCUUUAAAUUCUACUUGCACAUUCUCUGCACUCUCUCUGGAAGCCGCUUUUCUUUUGUAUUUUCCGAACAUCACAUACACCGGACAACAGUCGCA